UCCAAAUUUAUUUUUAAUCUCAUGGGGAAACCUACAGUCUUAAAUUAAACCCCAUUCUAUUUUUCCUUCCAAACUUUGAAACAAAAGUGGAGAAGAAAAAGGGUCUCUCCUCUCCUUAUAGUGAUGGCAUGGUUUCAUUCUCUUCUUUCUCCAUUGAAGAAAUUCUGGGGCAGAUUCCGGGAGACCCGAAGAACGCGGCGUGGGAUAUAUGUAUUGUACGAGGAUGUGAAGUCGUGUUCGUGCGAAGAUGUGCACGCACUGUGGACGCUGCUGGUUGAUUCGGAUGCAAAUUUUACUUAGACGCAUUCAAAUGCUUAAUACUGGUUAAAAUUUUCUAUAAUUUAGUUUGUUUUGUUUGAUCUUAGUAAUGUUACUGGCGUACAGAAUUUGCGAUGAUAUCUCAGAAACAGGUUUAUUUUUUUUUUUUUUUUUUUUU